AACAACAGCAUCACCACCACAGACAUGACUAGAACACAAGGUAACAACAAGAUCACCACCACAGACAUGACUAGAACCCAAGGUACCAACAGCAUCACCACCACAGACAUGACUAGAACACAAGGUAACAACAGCAUCACCACCACAGACAUGACUAGAACACAAGGUAACAACAGCAUCACCACCACAGACAUGACUAGAACACAAGGUAACAACAAGAUCACCACCACAGACAUGACUAGAACACAAGGUAACAACAGCAUCACCACCACAGACAUGACUAGAACACAAGGUAACAACAGCAUCACCACCACAGACAUGACUAGAACACAAGGUAACAACAGCAUCACCACCACAGACAUGACUAGAACACAAGGUAACGACAUCAUCACCACAGACAGGGCUAGAACACAAGGUAACAACAUCACCACUACCACAGACAUGACUGGAACAAAAGGUAACAACAGCAUCACCACCACAGACAUGACUAGAACACAAGUUAACAACAACAUCACCACCACAGACAUGACUGGAACACAAGGUAACAACAUCACCACUACCACAGACAUGACUGGAACACAAGGUAACACUACACUAAUACACCACUACACUACUACACCACUCCACGUGCACACACAUGAUUUAUAUGUUGUGUUCGAGUUACCAAUCCAGACACAACAACCCAAGACUCCACCAACCAAACCCUCAACACAACAACCCAGGACUCCACCAACCAAGCCCUCAACACAACAACCCAAGACUCCACCUACCAAGCCCUCAACACAACAACCCAAGACUCCACCUCCCAAGCCCUCA
ensembl:lncRNA